rnacentral:rRNA from 1 species
CAGUAGCCGCGGUAAUACAGAGGGUGCGAGCGUUAAUCGGAUUUACUGGGCGUAAAGCGUGCGUAGGCGGCUAAUUGAGUCGGAUGUGAAAUCCCCGAGCUUAACUUGGGAAUUGCAUUCGAUACUGGUUAGCUAGAGUGUGGGAGAUGAUGGUAGAAUUCCAGGUGUAGCGGUGAAAUGCGUAGAGAUCUGGAGGAAUACCGAUGGCGAAGGCAGCCAUCUGGCCUAACACUGACGCUGAGGUACGAAAGCAUGGGGAGCAAACAGGAUUAGAUACCCCAGUAGUCCCUGUCUCUUAUAC